GGGUAUGGUGGCCGAGUAGGUGGCAGGCUGUAGCCCUGCUUACGGGGCAGUUGCCCCCCCAAUCAA
rnacentral:tRNA from 1 species